rnacentral:rRNA from 1 species
AUUGAACGCUGGCGGCAGGCCUAACACAUGCCAGUCGAGCGGAUGAAGGGAGCUUGCUCCUGGAUUCAGCGGCGGAAGGGUGAGUAAUGCCUAGGAAUCUGCCUGGUAGUGGGGGAUAACGUCCGGAAACGGGCGCUAAUACCGCAGAAGUCCUGAGGGAGAAAGUGGGGGAGCUUCGGACCUCACGCUAUCAGAUGAGCCUAGGUCGGAUUAGCUAGUUGGUGGGGUAAGGGCCUACCAAGGCGACGAUCCGUAACUGGUCUGAGAGGAUGAUCAGUCACACUGGAACGGAGACACGGUCCAGACUCCUACGGGAGGCAGCAGUGGGGAAUAAUGGACAAUGGGCGAAAGCCUGAUCCAGCCAUGCCGCGUGUGAAGAAGGUCUUCGGAUUGUAAAGCACUUUAAGUUGGGAGGAAGGGCAGUAAGUUAAUACCUUGCUGUUUUGACGUUACCAACAGAAUAAGCACCGGCUAACUUCGUG